rnacentral:rRNA from 1 species
UACAGAGGGUGCAAACGUUGUUCGGAAUUACUGGGCGUAAAGCGCGUGUAGGCGGCUAAGUAAGUCGGGCGUGAAAUCCCACGGCUCAACCGUGGAAGUGCACUCGAAACUGCAUAGCUAGAGUCCUGGAGAGGAAGGUGGAAUGCUUGGUGUAGAGGUGAAAUUCGUAGAUAUCAAGCGGAACACCGGUGGCGAAGGCGGCCUUCUGGACAGUGACUGACGCUGAGACGCGAAAGCGUGGGGAGCAAACAGGG